rnacentral:rRNA from 1 species
CCAAUAGCGUAUAUUAAAGUUGUUGCAGUUAAAAAGCUCGUAGUUGAACUUCAGGCCUGUCCAGACGGUCCGCCUUAAUUGGUGUGUACUGUCCUUGGGUGGGUCCUACCUUCUGGCGAAGCGGCAUGGCCUUAAUUGGUUGUGUCGGGGAACCAGGACUUUUACUGUGAAAAAAUUAGAGUGUUCAAAGCAGGCAAAUAUGCUCGAAUACAUUAGCAUGGAAUAAUGGAAUAGGACGAUGGUUCUAUUUUGUUGGUUCUAGGACCGUUGUAAUGAUUAAUAGGGAUAGUUGGGGGAAUUAGUAUUCAAUUGUCAGAGGUGAAAUUCUUGGAUUUAUUGAAGACUAACUACUGCGAAAGCAUUUGCCAAGGAUGUUUUCAUUAAUCAAGAACGAAAGUUAGGGGAUCGAAGACGAUCAGAUACCGUCGUAGUCUUAACCAUAAACUAUGCCGACUAGGAAUCGGGCGAUGUUGACAAAAUGACUCGCUCGGCACCUCAUG